rnacentral:rRNA from 1 species
GCUACACACGUGCUACAAUGGCGCAUACAAAGAGAAGCGACCUCGCGAGAGCAAGCGGACCUCAUAAAGUGCGUCGUAGUCCGGAUUGGAGUCUGCAACUCGACUCCAUGAAGUCGGAAUCGCUAGUAAUCGUGGAUCAGAAUGCCACGGUGAAUACGUUCCCGGGCCUUGUACACACCGCCCGUCACACCAUGGGAGUUGGGUUCACCCGAAGGCCGUGCGCCAACCUGCAAAGGGGGCAGCGGACCACGGUGAGCUCAGCGACUGGGGUGAAGUCGUAACAAG